rnacentral:rRNA from 1 species
GAUGAACGCUAGCUACAGGCUUAACACAUGCAAGUCGCGGGGCAUCAUGGAGGUUGCUUGCAAUUUCUGAUGGCGACCGGCGCACGGGUGAGUAACGCGUAUCCAACCUUCCCAUUACUACGGCAUACCCCGUUGAAAGGCGGCCUAAUUCCGUAUGCAGUCCGAAGCAGUCAUCUAAUUUGGACGAAAGGUAUAUUCUAUCGGUAAUGGAUGGGGAUGCGUCCGAUUAGCCAGCCGGCGGGGUAACGGCCCACCGGGGCAUUGAUCGGUAGGGGUUCUGAGAGGAAGGUCCCCCACACUGGAACUGAGACACGGUCCAGACUCCUACGGGAGGCAGCAGUGAGGAAUAUUGGUCAAUGGGCGUAAGCCCUGAAACCCAGCCAAAGUAGCGUGCAGGAAGACGGGCCCCUAUGGGUUGUAAAACU